UACGUAGGGGGCUAGCGUUGUCCGGAAUCAUUGGGCGUAAAGCGCGUGUAGGCGGUCCGGUAAGUCCGCUGUGAAAGUCGGGGGCUCAACCCUCGGAUGCCGGUGGAUACUGUCGGGCUUGAGUACGGAAGAGGCGAGUGGAAUUCCUGGUGUAGCGGUGAAAUGCGCAGAUAUCAGGAGGAACACCAAUUGCGAAGGCAGCUCGCUGGGACGUUACUGACGCUGAGACGCGAAAGCGUUGGGAGCGAACAGG
rnacentral:rRNA from 1 species